rnacentral:rRNA from 1 species
GUCCACGCCGUAAACUAUGAGAGCUAGACGUCGGGCGGCUUGCCGUUCGGUGUCGCAGCUAACGCAUUAAGCUCUCCGCCUGGGGAGUACGGCCGCAAGGUUAAAACUCAAAGGAAUUGACGGGGGCCCCGCACAAGCGGUGGAGCAUGUGGUUUAAUUCGAAGCAACGCGCAGAACCUUACCAUCCCUUGACUUGGACGUCGCGGCCCGAGAGAUCGGGCUUUCAGUUCGGCUGGACGUCACACAGGUGCUGCAUGGCUGUCGU